CAGUCGAGCGGCAGCGACAACAUUGAACCUUCGGGGGAUUUGUUGGGCGGCGAGCGGCGGACGGGUGAGUAAUGCCUGGGAAAUUGCCCUGAUGUGGGGGAUAACCAUUGGAAACGAUGGCUAAUACCGCAUGAUAGCUUCGGCUCAAAGAGGGGGACCUUCGGGCCUCUCGCGUCAGGAUAUGCCCAGGUGGGAUUAGCUAGUUGGUGAGGUAAGGGCUCACCAAGGCGACGAUCCCUAGCUGGUCUGAGAGGAUGAUCAGCCACACUGGAACUGAGACACGGUCCAGACUCCUACGGGAGGCAGCAGUGGGGAAUAUUGCACAAUGGGCGCAAGCCUGAUGCAGCCAUGCCGCGUGUAUGAAGAAGGCCUUCGGGUUGUAAAGUACUUUCAGCAGUGAGGAAGGAGGUAUCGUUAAUAGCGGUAUCUUUUGACGUUAGCUGCAGAAGAAGCACCGGCUAACUCCGUGCCAGC
rnacentral:rRNA from 1 species